rnacentral:rRNA from 1 species
AAAUGACUCUCGGCAACGGAUAUCUCGGCUCUUGCAUCGAUGAAGAACGUAGCGAAAUGCGAUACUUGGUGUGAAUUGCAGAAUCCCGUGAACCAUCGAGUCUUUGAACGCAAGUUGCGCCCAAAACCAUUAGGUUGAGGGCACGCCUGCCUGGGUGUCACAC